GAAGUACAGCAGUUCCAAGAGAACAAAAGACAAUGAGAACAGAACUUGAUAAUUCAAAGAAAGAAUACCGGAAAAAAAAGAAGCCGGAGCCAAUAUUAUUCUCUUGAAAACCAAAGAUGAAAAGAAUUCAAGCACAUAGGUACGUCAAUUCAAUAGCAAAGAUGUUAACAGUAAUCUGAUAAUACAGAAGAAAGUUUCCAUUUCUCCCCCUCACAACAACAUUUUUAAACACAUACCUACUGUCUAAAUAAAAUAGAAAAACAUGUUACUCUUUUUAAGCAUAUGGUGUCAUCCUUAAGAUAGCAUCUGCAAAAGAUUUU
rnacentral:misc_RNA from 1 species